UACGUAGGGCGCAAGCGUUGUUCGGAAUCACUGGGCUUAAAGGGCGCGUAGGCGGGCUAACAAGUCUGGGGUGAAAUGCCACGGCUCAACCGUGGAACUGCCUCAGAUACUGUCGGCCUCGAGGAAGGUAGGGGCAUGCGGAACUGUAGGUGGAGCGGUGAAAUGCGUUGAUAUCUACAGGAACUCCGGUGGCGAAAGCGGCGUGCUGGACCUUUUCUGACGCUGAGGCGCGAAAGCUAGGGGAGCAAACGGG
rnacentral:rRNA from 1 species